AGAGUUUGAUCAUGGCUCAGAGCGAACGCUGGCGGCAGGCUUAACACAUGCAAGUCGAGCGGGCGUAGCAAUACGUCAGCGGCAGACGGGUGAGUAACGCGUGGGAACGUACCUUUUGGUUCGGAACAACACAGGGAAACUUGUGCUAAUACCGGACAAGCCCUUACGGGGAAAGAUUUAUCGCCGAAAGAUCGGCCCGCGUCUGAUUAGCUAGUUGGUGAGGUAACGGCUCACCAAGGCGACGAUCAGUAGCUGGUCUGAGAGGAUGAUCAGCCACAUUGGGACUGAGACACGGCCCAAACUCCUACGGGAGGCAGCAGUGGGGAAUAUUGGACAAUGGGCGCAAGCCUGAUCCAGCCAUGCCGCGUGAGUGAUGAAGGCCCUAGGGUUGUAAAGCUCUUUUGUGCGGGAAGAUAAUGACGGUACCGCAAGAAUAAGCCCCGGCUAACUUCGUGCCAGCAGCCGCGGUAAUACGAAGGGGGCUAGCGUUGCUCGGAAUCACUGGGCGUAAAGGGUGCGUAGGCGGGUCUUUAAGUCAGGGGUGAAAUCCUGGAGCUCAACUCCAGAACUGCCUUUGAUACUGAAGAUCUUGAGUUCGGGAGAGGUGAGUGGAACUGCGAGUGUAGAGGUGAAAUUCGUAGAUAUUCGC
rnacentral:rRNA from 1 species